CAUUGGCAUGCUUGGCACUUGGCGGUACCCUUGUUGUUCUUCUCGUAACCAAAACAAACCUUGAAAAGAAAAGGUGAUUUUCUCGUACUAAUGCAGCAAUAACAGGCUGACGAUACUGAUAAAGUCACGGGAUUUGAAGAGGAGUUACAAAAUGCAAGAGCUUCAGUAGAAACACUGACUACCACUAUGGAAAAUAUGGUUAGCAAUUUAUUUAUCAAACAUAUAUUCAUCUAACUGGAUUUUUUUUCCUGUUGUGUGUUAAGUGUAGAGAUGUAACAUUGUGGGUUUUCAAUUUUGAGCUGUUAAAUUUGGUGGGUUCUUGUUCGAAUCAAACAAAAGCUGAUGUCUUGAACAAUUUAGAGAAAGAAUCCGCUAUGAAGGUGAUGUUACUAAUGUUGGGGUGCGGAAACUAGUCCCUCUUCUGAAGUCAUUAAAGGAUUUGGAUUGCAAGAAUCUGUUUUGCAAUCUGAUUAUGAUGAGAAACGAACUGACUUGGAAACUGAAGUUUGUGAAUUGGAGGAGAAAAUAGCUGCUGGUAUGGACAGUGAUCAUGUGGUGACUGGAAAUUGAUGUUAUUCGUUCAUCUGCAGAGGCACAUUUAUUGCUCUAAGGAGAAAGGGAUCAUGGAGCUCAACAUGUUUCCAAACCUAUGACAUGCUGGACGUCAAGCAUGAGGGGGUGAGGAGCAUGGUAGGUGGGGAAUUAGGUAGUUUAAAAGGAAUAAUAUCAUAAAACUCUUCUAAAACCAUAUUUACAUCUUCAGGUAAUUUCACUAAAGAGUUUUCUAAAACUUCUUCCUCUACUACUAAAUCAGAAUUAUAAUAUUUUUUUUAUUAACUUCCUUUUCAAACUUAUUUGGACUUAUAGUGUUAAGCCCUCGUUUUGCAUAUCCUUUUCAUCUAGGUCAUUAAAGUUUUCAGGAUUGGUUCGUAUAUUUGCACACAAUAGUUUUUCUUUUUACCUAUAUCCUUAAGUUCUGCUGCGCCGCCCUCUUUUUCAUGACAAUCAUUUUAAUUAUUUGAUGGAGGUAAUUACCACUACAUCCAUCUAGCAGAAGCUACAGAAGGUCGAAGUAGGGCUUCAGGAAGAGCAGAAGGUUUCUGAUCCUCUUAAGAAGAGGUAUGCUGCAGCUAUGGCAGAGAAAAGGCGCUGCUAUUCCCUCUCAAGGCUUUUCAGGUAAGCGUUGCAGUCAUUAACCUAUGCUAGUGAUAAUGGUUACACCAAAAAAAAAAAAAAAUUCAAUACUCUGGAAGAAAAAAUUUCGCAAAUACUUUUCUGUCUUUCUGAUAUUUCAUUCUUGCCUAAUUGUCCGAGCAAAAACCACCUUUAAAACUUUUACAUGAAGGCUGCGUAAUGUUAUACUUAACUAUCCUUUCGACUUUAUCUCAAUGUUGUACCUCAUUUUCUUUUCAACUUUGGCUAUGCAUGACUAUGCUGUGGCACCUCAAACUCUGGAUUUUUUUUUGGCAAAAGAUAACUUAUUUACUAGUGAUGUAUUAAGUUAUUCAUGCGGAAAUGCAUUAGGUUAUUUAUAAGGAACAAACGGUGGCUGUUGAAUGGUUUGGUGGAAGACUUGGACUUGCAACCACAAGGGUCCGGGUUCUAGUUUUGAGAAUAGCUACAAAAUACAACUCAGAAUUCUCACUCUCGGGACUUCAUUUUGGUAGAAUGUUAACUACUAGUUAUGCCUACUAGACAGCACUGUUAAUUAUGAUAUAUGUUAUCUUGUCAUUUUUAACAACAGGAAAUAGUUGUGUUCUGUUUUCAUUCUUAUCAGCAAGAACUAAUUUCAUUUCAAUUUCGUAAUGUCAUUAUAAGUGCAUGUGGUGGAAGACAAGAAAAUGGAAUCAUUCAGUGGACCCUUCUUUUUUCUACUGUUUUAUUUAUUGUGGUAAAACAAACUCGAACUUCGCCCAUUUUACAUCAAUAGAGGUUUUUUGUUUCUAAGAAGAAUGUGCAAAGAAUGAGAGACUUCGGGACCAGACUUCUGCUUAAAAUGCCACUACUGCCUCAUCUGUGGUCGAACCAUUUAAGCACCUGCGCAUCAUGCAAUAACUCUUACAGUGCUGAUCUCUUAUAUCAAAAGGAAAGCAUGAUUGUCAUUGAAAAGUAUAGUUUACGGGAAAAUACAAACUUUCACAAUUCUUUUCUUCUUGAUAUUCCUUUGUAGGCUAUGUUAUAUUAUUGUUCUCAUUUGUAAGGCUGGAUGCUGUGCCCCCAAUUUUUUAUUUAUUUAAAUCACUAGCAGAAUAAGUUUUAUC